UGCAGUCGAGCGGGGGACUUAGCUUGCUACUGGACCUAGCGGCGGACGGGUGAGUAAUACUUAGGAAUCUGCCUAUUAGUGGGGGACAACGUUCCGAAAGGAGCGCUAAUACCGCAUACGCCCUACGGGGGAAAGCAGGGGAUCUUCGGACCUUGCGCUAAUAGAUGAGCCUAAGUCGGAUUAGCUAGUUGGUGGGGUAAAGGCCUACCAAGGCGACGAUCUGUAGCGGGUUUGAGAGGAUGAUCCGCCACACUGGGACUGAGACACGGCCCAGACUCCUACGGGAGGCAGCAGUGGGGAAUAUUGGACAAUGGGCGCAAGCCUGAUCCAGCCAUGCCGCGUGUGUGAAGAAGGCCUUAUGGUUGUAAAGCACUUUAAGCGAGGAGGAGGCUUACCUAGUUAAUACCUAGGAUAAGUGGACGUUACUCGCAGAAUAAGCACCGGCUAACUCUGUGCCAGCAGCCGCGGUAAUACAGAGGGUGCAAGCGUUAAUCGGAAUUACUGGGCGUAAAGCGCGCGUAGGUGGCCA
rnacentral:rRNA from 1 species